UACAGAGACUGCAAGCGUUGUCCGGAUUUAUUGGGCGUAAAGAGCGUGUAGGCGGCCAUACAGGUCCGUUGUGAAAACUGGAGGCUUAACCUCCAGACGUCGAUGGAAACCGUAUGGCUAGAGUCCGGAAGAGGAGAGUGGAAUUCCUGGUGUAGCGGUGAAAUGCGCAGAUAUCAGGAAGAACACCCGUGGCGAAGGCGGCUCUCUGGGACGGUACUGACGCUGAGACGCGAAAGCGUGGGGAGCGAACAGG
rnacentral:rRNA from 1 species